UACGUAGGGGGCAAGCGUUAUCCGGAUUUACUGGGUGUAAAGGGAGCGUAGACGGCAAGGCAAGUCUGAAGUGAAAGCCCGGUGCUUAACGCCGGGACUGCUUUGGAAACUGUAUGGCUGGAGUGCCGGAGAGGUAAGCGGAAUUCCUAGUGUAGCGGUGAAAUGCGUAGAUAUUAGGAAGAACACCAGUGGCGAAGGCGGCUUACUGGACGGUAACUGACGUUGAGGCUCGAAAGCGUGGGGAGCAAACAGG
rnacentral:rRNA from 1 species